UACGUAGGGUGCAAGCGUUGUCCGGAAUUAUUGGGCGUAAAGAGCUCGUAGGCGGUCUGUCGCGUCGGAUGUGAAAAUCCAGGGCUCAACCCUGGACCUGCAUUCGAUACGGGCAGACUAGAGUUCGGUAGGGGAGACUGGAAUUCCUGGUGUAGCGGUGAAAUGCGCAGAUAUCAGGAAGAACACCCGUGGCGAAGGCGGUUCUCUGGGACGGUACUGACGCUGAGACGCGAAGCGUGGGGAGCGAACAGG
rnacentral:rRNA from 1 species